CCUACGGGGGGCAGCAGUAGGGAAUUUUCGUCAAUGGGCGCAAGCCUGAACGAGCAAUGCCGCGUGAACGAGGAAGGUCUUCGGAUCGUAAAGUUCUGUUGAAGGGGAAGAAGAGCGGAGAGAGGAUAUGCUUUCUGAUUGAUAUUACCCUUCGAGGAAGUCACGGCUAACUACGUGCCAGCAGCCGCGGUAAUACGUAGGUGGCGAGCGUUAUCCGGAUUUAUUGGGGUUAAAGGGUGCGUAGGCGGUAUUUUAAGUUAGUGGUAAAACGUCGGGGCUUCACCUUGAUUGGCCAUUAAAACUGGAGUACUAGAGUACAGACGAGGGAGGCGGAAUAAGUGAAGUAGCGGUGAAAUGCUUAGAGAUAACGUAGAACCCCGAUAGCGAAGGCAGCUUCCCAGACUAUUACUGACGCUGAAGCACGAGAGCGUGGGUAGCGAACAGGAUUAGAUACCCUUGUAGUC
rnacentral:rRNA from 1 species